rnacentral:rRNA from 1 species
GACGAACGCUGGCGGCGUGCUUAACACAUGCAAGUCGAACGGAAAGGCCCUGCUUUUGUGGGGUGCUCGAGGGGCGAACGGGUGAGUAACACGUGAGUAACCUGCCCUUGACUUUGGGAUAACUUCAGGAAACUGGGGCUAAUACCGGAUAGGAGCUCCUGCUGCAGGGUGGGGGUUGGAAAGUUUCGGCGGUUGGGGAUGGACUCGCGGCUUAUCAGCUUGGUGGUGGGGUAGUGGCUUACCAAGGCUUUGACGGGUAGCCGGCCUGAGAGGGUGACCGGCCACAUUGGGACUGCGAUACGGCCCAGACUCCUACGGGAGGCAGCAGUGGGAAAUAUUGCACAAUGGGCGGACGCCUGAUGCAGCAACGCCGCGUGCGGGAUGACGGCCUUCGGGUUGUAAACCGCUUUCGCCUGUGACGAAGCGUGAGUGACGGUAAUGGGUAAAGAAGCACCGGCUAACUACGUG